CCGCUCGGAAUGCGAUUCGUAGCUGGCGAGUGAAGCGGCAAAAGCUCAAAUUUGAAAUCUGGCGCCUUCGGUGUCCGAGUUGUAAUUUGAAGAUUGUAACCUUGGGGUUGGCUCUUGUCUAUGUUUCUUGGAACAGGACGUCACAGAGGGUGAGAAUCCCGUGCGAUGAGAUGCCCAAUUCUAUGUAAGGUGCUUUCGAAGAGUCGAGUUGUUUGGGAAUGCAGCUCUAAGUGGGUGGUAAAUUCCAUCUAAAGCUAAAUAUUGGCGAGAGACCGAUAGCGAACAAGUACAGUGAUGGAAAGAUGAAAAGAACUUUGAAAAGAGAGUGAAAAAGUACGUGAAAUUGUUGAAAGGGAAGGGUUUGAGAUCAGACUCGAUAUUUUGUGAGCCUUGCCUUCGUGGCGGGGUGACCCGCAGCUUAUCGGGCCAGCAUCGGUUUGGGCGGUAGGAUAAUGGCGUAGGAAUGUGACUUUACUUCGGUGAAGUGUUAUAGCCUGCGUUGAUGCUGCCUGCCUAGACCGAGGACUGCGAUUUUAUCAAGGAUGCUGGCAUAAUGAUCCCAAACCGCCCGUCUUGAAACACGGACCCAUU
rnacentral:rRNA from 1 species